rnacentral:lncRNA from 1 species
AAUAUCGCGCAGCACACAGUCCCAAGCAGUUUCCUACUUGAUUGCCGCUAUCGUCCAGCAGCCUCGUAAGGGAAGCCGUCCGCGUGGAUUCUACUACGACGCCUCGACCAAUCGGAACGCUCAUAGGCGAGCCUUGGCCAAUCGUAGCCUUAUUCUCCCUACCACUCUGUGCUACUGGCGCAAAGACUCGAAUGAGAGCUCGUCCUCGUCCAAUCCUCGACGUGACUUUUUCGAUCGACGUCCGCGCGUUUAGUCCGCGCGGACUUCUUCGUUCUCUCUCUUUCUCGCGUUCUCUAUGGCCAUAGCUAUACGAAAUGAAGGUGCUACGCGAAGCCGCAGCGAAACAUGAAAAAUAGGGGGCUACACGAGGAAAAACACGGUUGAGGGAGGAGGUGGAGAAGGUGGUGCUGGUGAAGGAUGAAGAGGAGGUGGAAGAGGACUCUGUGGGAUGGACCCUACGAACCGAAACAGCAAAGGCUGUUCAGGGUGAUGUGAUGUGGUGGUGGUGAUGGUGGCAGCGGUGGUGGUAACGGUGGCGGCGGUGGUGCUGCGCCAGUCGGAAGAUAGAGAGGCCGAGGAUGAGAAUGGAAAAGUAACAUAACGAAACGUCGAUCCCAUUACCUGAAGCUCUCUCGCUCUGCCGUACAGCGAGCUCUGCUUUCGACCCUUAAUCCAAAGAAGGAUUAGAAAACCCCAUUGUCAUGCUUCGCGGAACGCGAGAUGGUAGGUGUAUAUGUGCGUGAUUAUAUAUACGCGAGAGCUCUUUCUCAUUCUCUCUCUCCCUCUCUGCCUCCCUCUUUGAUUCUCGGAGUCGUAUAUUCGUCGGUUGGUGCAUGGCGGAGGCGAUGGCGCGGGACCUACCCUUAAUGAAAUAAAUACGUGACGUACCGCGGCGACGGUGGGUUUUGUUUAUCGCGAGAACCGUGAGCGUAUUUUGCUUUGUAUCUCCCUUGCUCUCUUUUCUCAGGUGCGGCUCUUUAUCUCCUUUCCACUGGGCGAAGAAGGAAUAUAAGGCAGUACCGUAGAGUGUUGGCGUAGCUGUCGGUCGCGCUUGGUCGGCUGCGGUUUAUACAGAGCCGCCUUGCCAGCCGCUUGCCGCCUGCCGCAGCCGGUUUGCGUGUUCACCGUGUUCGCUCCGUGGAUACGUGUCCUCGGCGCGGUUCUGCGCGGUACUCACCGAACUCUGGCCAAAGCGCGACCGAGAGGGAAAAGGAACGAAAGUGGCGCGUAGACGAGAAGCACGCGAGCAAGUGCGAGGGAGACCGAACGAUGCCGUGAAAAGCGAUAGCGAGAGAGACGCCAAUAGGCGGCAGAACCAGUCGCUGCGGUCGCCGCGGCUAACCACACCGAUGUUCUCAACCUGUGGCGACCUUGCCCGAUCAUCGCGGAUCUUGCGAAUUACGAAAAGCUGCCGGAUCGUGCAACGCGGACCGCUCGACCGUGUAAGAGGAUAGAAGUAGCGUACGAAGGAAGAUCAAGAAAAACGUGACACUAGAUCCCUUUGAAAUCUACCUUCGCACAAGAAAAAGAGUCAACAGCUCUGAGCUCGUUAACUCGCCAAACUUGGCCGAUGGACGACAGGGGGAUCCAUCCUAUAGCUUUUACCACUGCGGCGCAGUGCUGUUACUUGUACCAUUGCUGCUACUGCUGCUGCUGCUGCUGCUGUUGCCGUUGCUGAUGAUGAUAGCAGAGAGUCGGUAAUACGCGCGAACCUACCGCUCUGAUAAUCUACGCUCGCCGAGUAAUUAAGAGAUACGUAUAUUUUUAUGCGUAUAAACGUGCCGAGCGAUGCUAUUACGUACAUGCCUACAUACAUUCAUGCGUACAUACAAAUAUAUCUACGUAGCCAGUGUAUCUCUGCAUAGGUAGUUUGCGAGGAAAUACGUAGCAUAAUAAUGAUCCCGUUGAUUCGCUAGCACGAUAGUUAAAGGAUGAAAAAUAUGGGCUCUGGUUGUACAGAAUACGCAGAGUACCUACACGAGACUGGAUACACGAUUCACGACUGAAAAAUAUAAUUACUUUUUCCGAGCUAAUUUCCGUUUAUGCGAACCGUGUCCACGGAGAGAUGCUUUUUAUCGGUGCAACCUGCCAUUACCGUUAAACACAUUUUCUUCUCCAUCCCUCGACAACGAGCUCGCUCGCUCUCUCGCUCGCUUUCUCUCUCUCCCGAGAGAAUCAUUGUAAAAUUGGAAAAAAAUGUUAUUCGGCCCUUCCAACAGUUACCUUCCCCUCCUCCGGCCUCGUUACGUUGCCUAUCCAACUGUUUUUAACGUGGAAACUUUAUAUUCCUAUCCAAACGAAAAUAAUAUUUGCUAAUGUAUCAUAAAUUGUCGUCGAUUCUUUUUUUAUGAAUAUAUUAUUAUAUAUAUACAUAUAUUUAUACACUUUCAAGCGACAACAUAUUUUUAAUCGAAUAUACGUAAAAUCGUGAUAAACGUUUUAAUAUAAUGUUUGAUAACGUAUGUAGGUAGAUUAAGCAUUUAUCAAGAAGGAUCGAACGCGUAAGUUUGCUGCUUAAUGUUAGCAUGUAAAGCGAUAUGAAUGUUAACGACGGAAUACGACGUUUCGCCUAA